AGCACAGCAGCAGCGAGGCCUCGAACAUGUCCACAACCAGGACUCGGAGGGUUUUGAGUCUAAGACUUGGGAGACGGUGAAGAAACCCAAGGCAAGUGCUGCUCAGCUGAGCAAGAAAGCCAAGAAGGAAA